rnacentral:sRNA from 1 species
GUCGGGCGUGGUGGCGCGCGCCUGUAAUCCCAGCUACUUAGGAGGCUGAGGCAGGAGGAUCGCUCGAACCCGGGAGGCGGAGGUUGCAGUGAGCCGAGAUCGCACCAUUGCACUCCAGCCUGGGCGACAGAGCGAGACUCCGUCUCAA